AAACGUUUAAGGUUAAUGUCUACAAGAGAUGAUCCAUAUAAAAGUGAACAAAAUUCACCCUGUUUCGAGUAAUGGAGGCACGAAAAACAACCAGUUUCACCUGCACAAUGUUUUCAAACUGAUGUAGGCAACGUUUCAGUUGUAAGUUACAACUUAAUCCCGGUGUUCAGACGAAAUAAACCCGGCAGUUUCACCCUCGGCAAUGCCAUUAGGCUUGACCAGGCCGGAAGCUGGCGAUGAGCCUCGUUCUGACUCCUCGAACUCCGUAACGUAGUUACCGUUGCCGUUAUCGACGUCCCUUCUGUUUUCAACAGAAAAACGAUCGCUUUUGCUCCGCUGACCUCUACGUUUUGCUAACUGCUGUAUCAUUCCAAGUGUUUCUUCUUCCAAGAUGAAUACAAGGCUUCACAUUCAAGCUCGGGAGGACAUAAUUCGCUAUUAUGGCACUCCUGCGGCUGUGAGUUUGUGGCCGUCUCAGGAUGAGGAGUCCGACUGUGUAUGUAUAAAUUUACAUGCCCACCCUGUAAAUUCUUCCGUCUAGUAUAGCUGAUUUGUUGCACAUUAAGUCUGCCAAGUCCCUAUAAUAAACUGUGAUUCGUUUUCUUUGCAAAAGUAUCCCGUAUUUCUGUCUGACCUGACUUCCUUUGUCCCUCCCUCCACCCCCUCGAUGUGUAGCGUUCCCUGGCUGUGUCCCCUUCCCGUUGUCCCGACCCCCUGAGCGUCUUCACUCCGUUCUGGGCCCGCCCUGUCUACGGUGAGACGCUCCCCGCCCCCGUCACCAUCAACCACGCUGAUUACUAUCCUGCCCCAAGUGACGAUGAUGACAGUGACUACUGGGUGUACGAGGACGAGGACGACCACAGCUUUGUGGAUGACAGAGAGAUUCAUCCCUUUAGAAAGGCGCUGACGAGAGCGGCUGCCUUCUUUAGGAAGAUCUUCUCUUAGACUCCUUUAUCCUUUUAAUGUCUGAAUGUGUGCAAGUGAGUGAAUGAAUGAGCAGGUUUGUAUGUAUGUGUGCGUUUGUGUGAGAGUAAAUAUAAGAUUGAAUGAGCAUGUGUGUGUGUGAGAGAGAGAGAGAGAGAUAGAGAGAGAGAGACAGAGAGAGAGAGACUGAAUGAAUAUGUAUGUUUGUGUGUGUGUAUUGUGUGCGUGUAAGAGUAAAUGAAAGAUUGAAUUAUCAUGUCUGUCUGUAUGCAUGUAUGUGUGUGUGAGUGUUUGUGUGAGAGUGUGAGAGAGUGAAUGAGCAUGUAUGUAUGAUGCGUGUAUGUAUGUGUGAGAGGGAGAGUGUACAUUGUGUAUAUAUUUUAGAGAUGAGAGUUGGAGUUAAUGAACGAGCCUACAUGUAAGUGUGUAUGAGAGAGAGAGAGAGAGAGAGAGAGAGAGGGAGAGAGAGAGAGAGAGAGACUACCAUUCCAGCGUAUUUUUGGCGUAUUUUUAGGCUCACAGUUUUGGCCCAACUUUCAGUUUCCUUUUGGCAAACCUCUUGGCUUAUUAGCAUGGCACAAGACCAUACUUUCUAUACAAUUUUGGCCCGUUUUUGGAUCUCCCUUGAGGCAUAUUACUUUCGACUUUCAGUCAUCUGAAUAAAUGUUUCUGUAAUCUAUACACAAGUUGUUUGUUUUCUCUACAGUGUUUCUUCCUUACAGCUAAUAAUAUCUGGGUGACAGCAGCAUCGCAAUAUUGGCAUCUGCCCAAAUCCCAGGGUUUCCGAACAUGAGACAUAAAUUCAUAUGGAUAUUGUUAAAAAGUGAAUGUUGCCCCUAUAUUGCUGUGCUGCUGUGUCCCAGUUUCAUGAUCUGCACUUAGCAGAAGAUUUCUAAGUAGGUGGGGUUACCUUAAGAUCAGACACUUCUAAAUGUUUAUGUGGCGACAAUUGUGACACGGGAUAUUCUCUGAGGACAGCUCUCUGACACUUUGUUAUCUGGAAUAAUGUUUUUAUUCCAAUAUAAUAGCUCAUCGUUUCUAAUGUAACAAUAACUGUGGCUUCCUUUUAAAGGAGUGCGAAUGGAGAAUUGCCUUCUCUAAAACACAAGUGUCGCCACAUGGGAUAUAUUACGAGCACUUCACCCAACUAAUAGCAGUAGUCGGACAAGGGGUUGAGAGUGAUCUCCCUUCGCCCCAGUCAAUAUUGGAUUCCACUCGUCUCAUCAUUAUGGCUUUACAGGAGUCGACCUCACCGCUGGUCCUUUGGCCCGUGGUCUUCAGAUAUUGCAGAGGGCAUGCUUUUAUACAUAGGCCGAGGCCAGGCGCAAGUAGAAAGCCUAUACUGACACCUACUCAUAUGCAAGAGUAGAUUGAUGUAUAUAUAUAUGACGUAAUAUUCGUAUCUUGCAUUCUACAAAAAUACCUAAAUAAUACAAGGGGUCUGAAUUCUACCCCUGUACGUCCACAUCAGCGUUUUCAAAAUGGGACGGUCAAUAGGAUUUCUCUGACUGUGAGUGUGUGGGUGGCUAGGAUUUUUUCAGAAAAUAAAUAUAUUGUCUCCGAAAUUGAUUGAAAACUAAUUAUGCUUCCAUCUGUUGGACAAAAAGAACAUGUCAGCCACCAAAAAUACGUUGUUGCAAGGUGGGAUUUUGAAAAAUGUUUUAUUUAGUCUCAUAAUUUUAGCUGAUUUUGCAUUUGUAGCUGAAAAAUAUCUAGUCUCCAUACAAAAUCCAAGGUCGCCCACUCCCCCUUCCAACAGAACAUGAAAUGGUCGGCCCCUCAGGCCUAGUAUAGUAAUAACCAAUAUGCUUGUCAUUUAUCUUUCUCUCCUAUUAGCAAUUUUCUGUGGUCGUCGUUUUUCCAGAUUAGAAAUCAAACCAAAUAAGAACUGUCGCUGCACACGUUGGUAUUUACCAGUACCAUUUAACUUUUAUUUUAUCCCUGUAGGCUAGGGAAUAAUUCCCCAAUCCUACUUGGAUUAUCAGAGAUGGGCAUUCUUACUAGCCUGCUAGCCCGUGUCAGUCUGUCGAAUGUAAAAGGUAUUGUGAAGGCUGGUAUAAUAGAGGGUCGUUAUAUGGUAUCGCUAUUCGUCCUAGCAAACGUUUAAGGUUAAUGUCUACAAGAGAUGAUCCAUAUAAAAGUGAACAAAAUUCACCCUGUUUCGAGUAAUGGAGGCACGAAAAACAACCAGUUUCACCUGCACAAUGUUUUCAAACUGAUGUAGGCAACGUUUCAGUUGUAAGUUACAACUUAAUCCCGGUGUUCAGACGAAAUAAACCCGGCAGUUUCACCCUCGGCAAUGCCAUUAGGCUUGACCAGGCCGGAAGCUGGCGAUGAGCCUCGUUCUGACUCUUCGAACUCCGUAACGUAGUUACCGUUGCCGUUAUCGACGUCCCUUCUGUUUUCAACAGAAAAACGAUCCCUUUUGCUCCGCUGACCUCUACGUUUUGCUAACUGCUGUAUCAUUCCAAGUGUUUCUUCUUCCAAGAUGAAUACAAGGCUUCACAUUCAAGCUCGGGAGGACAUAAUUCGCUAUUAUGGCACUCCUGCGGCUGUGAGUUUGUGGCCGUCUCAGGAUGAGGAGUCCGACUGUAAAAACGAUCGCUUUUGCUCCGCUGACCUCUACGUUUUGCUAACUGCUGUAUCAUUCCAAGUGUUUCUUCUUCCAAGAUGAAUACAAGGCUUCACAUUCAAGCUCGGGAGGACAUAAUUCGCUAUUAUGGCACUCCUGCGGCUGUGAGUUUGUGGCCGUCUCAGGAUGAGGAGUCCGACUGUAAAAACGAUCGCUUUUGCUCCGCUGACCUCUACGUUUUGCUAACUGCUGUAUCAUUCCAAGUGUUUCUUCUUCCAAGAUGAAUACAAGGCUUCACAUUCAAGCUCGGGAGGACAUAAUUCGCUAUUAUGGCACUCCUGCGGCUGUGAGUUUGUGGCCGUCUCAGGAUGAGGAGUCCGACUGUAAAAACGAUCGCUUUUGCUCCGCUGACCUCUACGUUUUGCUAACUGCUGUAUCAUUCCAAGUGUUUCUUCUUCCAAGAUGAAUACAAGGCUUCACAUUCAAGCUCGGGAGGACAUAAUUCGCUAUUAUGGCACUCCUGCGGCUGUGAGUUUGUGGCCGUCUCAGGAUGAGGAGUCCGACUGUAAAAACGAUCGCUUUUGCUCCGCUGACCUCUACGUUUUGCUAACUGCUGUAUCAUUCCAAGUGUUUCUUCUUCCAAGAUGAAUACAAGGCUUCACAUUCAAGCUCGGGAGGACAUAAUUCGCUAUUAUGGCACUCCUGCGGCUGUGAGUUUGUGGCCGUCUCAGGAUGAGGAGUCCGACUGUAAAAACGAUCGCUUUUGCUCCGCUGACCUCUACGUUUUGCUAACUGCUGUAUCAUUCCAAGUGUUUCUUCUUCCAAGAUGAAUACAAGGCUUCACAUUCAAGCUCGGGAGGACAUAAUUCGCUAUUAUGGCACUCCUGCGGCUGUGAGUUUGUGGCCGUCUCAGGAUGAGGAGUCCGACUGUGUAUGUAUAAAUUUACAUGCCCACCCUGUAAAUUCUUCCGUCUAGUAUAGCUGAUUUGUUGCACAUUAAGUCUGCCCAGUCCCUAUAAUAAACUGUGAUUCGUUUUCUUUGCAAAAGUAUCCCGUAUUUCUGUCUGACCUGACUUCCUUUGUCCCUCCCUCCACCCCCUCGAUGUGUAGCGUUCCCUGGCUGUGUCCCCUUCCCGUUGUCCCGACCCCCUGAGCGUCUUCACUCCGUUCUGGGCCCGCCCUGUCUACGGUGAGACGCUCCCCGCCCCCGUCACCAUCAACCACGCUGAUUACUAUCCUGCCCCAAGUGACGAUGAUGACAGUGACUACUGGGUGUACGAGGACGAGGACGACCACAGCUUUGUGGAUGACAGAGAGAUUCAUCCCUUUAGAAAGGCGCUGACGAGAGCGGCUGCCUUCUUUAGGAAGAUCUUCUCUUAGACUCCUUUAUCCUUUUAAUGUCUGAAUGUGUGCAAGUAAGUGAAUGAAUGAGCAGGUUUGUAUGUAUGUGUGCGUUUGUGUGAGAGUAAAUAUAAGAUUGAAUGAGCAUGUGUGUGUGUGUGUGAGAGAGAGAGAGAGACAGAGAGAGAGAGAGACUGAAUGAAUAUGUAUGUUUGUGUGUGUGUAUUGUGUGCGUGUAAGAGUAAAUGAAAGAUUGAAUUAUCAUGUCUGUCUGUAUGCAUGUAUGUGUGUAUGUGUGUGUGAGUGUUUGUGUGUGAGUGUGAGAGAGUGAAUGAGCAUGUAUGUAUGAUGUGUGUAUGUAUGUGUGAGAGAGAGUGUGUAUAUUGUGUAUAUAUGUUAGAGAUGUGAGCUGGAGUGAAUGAACGAACCUACAUGUAUGUGUGUAUUAGAGAGAGAGAGAGAGAGAGAGAGA